CAAGAGCAGGGUCCACAUGUACCAUCAGGUCCACAUACACAUGGGACAGUGGAGUGUACUGGUGUGAGUCUGGAUCAGGAGAGUACAGUAAUGCUGUCAACAUCACAGUGGAUGUUGGCCCUCUGAUCCUGGAGAGCCCUCCCUAUCCCAUAACUGAGGGAGAAUCUAUGACUCUCAGCUGUACAAAUAGAUAUCAGGAAACAAACCCGAACCCCAAGGUUGAUUUCUACAAAGAUGGAAUAUUCAUCAGGAAUGAUACCACAUUAGAGAUGACCAUCCCUGCAGUUUCCAAGUCAGAUGAAGGCUCCUACAAGUGUAAAUCUAAUGAAGGAGAAUCACCAGAGAGCUGGGUGACAGUGAGAGGUGUAACUCCUGGACCCUCUAGAUCAGUCCUAGUAGGAGUGGUUGUGGGCCUGGUUGUUGCUGGUGUUCUACUGGCCAUUCU